CAUCAACAAAACACCAAAUGAUGGAAUUUCCUCGUGGAAGAAUGGCGUCUCAUCCCUCCGAUAGACUUCCCAGACACUUGUAGAAUCGAUGUCAAGGUGUAUUAAAGCUGUUCUGGUUGGUGGAGGACCCGACGUCCUAUUAAAACACUGUUGGAGUUUCCUUUAUUCUCCCAGUUACCUGGUGGUUGGUGGAGGACCUGGAGUUUCCUUUAUUCUGCCAGUUACCUGGUGGACGACCCGACCUCCUAUUAAAACACUGUUGGAGUUUCCUUUAUUCUGCCAGUUACCUGGUGGACGACCCGACCUCUUAUUAAAACACUGUUGGAGUUUCCUUUAUUCUGCCAGUUACCUGGUGGACGACCCGACCUCCUAUUAAAACACUAUGUUGGAGUUUCCUUUAUUCUGCCAGUUACCUGGUGGACGACCCGACCUCCUAUUAAAACACUAUGUUGGAGUUUCCUUUAUUCUGCCAGUUACCUGGUGGUUGGUGGACCUGGAGUUUCCUUUAUUCUGCCAGUUACCUGGUGGACGACCCGACCUCCUAUUAAAACACUGUUGGUGUUUCCUUUAUUCUGCCAGUUACCUGGUGGUUGGUGGAGGACCUGGAGUUUCCUUUAUUCUGCCAGUUACCUGGUGGACGACCCGACGUCCUAUUAAAACACUGUUGGAGUUUCCUUUAUUCUGCCAGUUACCUGGUGGACGACCCGACCUCCUAUUAAAACACUGUUGGAGUUUCCUUUAUUCUGCCAGUUACCUGGUGGUUGGUGGACCUGGAGUUUCCUUUAUUCUGCCAGUUACCUGGUGGACGACCCGACCUAUUAAAACACUAUGUUGGAGUUUCCUUUAUUCUGGCAGUUACCUGGUGGUUGGUGGAGGACCUGGAGUUUCCUUUAUUCUGCCAGUUACCUCCUAUUAAAACACUUUAUGUUGCUGUUUCCUUCACAAGGUUCAUUUCCAUCUUGCUGUUUGUUGAAAGGUCAAGAUGUUUGGAUGUGUAUUUUAUUCUUCUGAUUGUUACAGAUUGGCUAAAUGCAGACAAAAUGCAACCCAAAACAGUCUUACCACAGUGUGCUUAUUGUGUGUGUGUGUGUGUGUGUGUGUGUGUGUGUGCGUGUGCUUAUUGUGUGUGUGUGUGUGUUGCGUCAGGUCUGCUUUCACCUAGUUAUGUAUAGCUGUUGUGUUUCAAUGUCAAAGUAUUAUUCAGGUCCUGAGGGCCAAAACAUUUCUGCUUUCUCUUCCUACCUGAUGUCCCCAGGUCUGAAUGAGUCUCUCUACCUGAUGUCCCCAGGUCUGAAUGAGUCUCUCUACCUGAUGUCCCCAGGUCUGAAUUAGUCCCAGGUCUGAAUGAGUCUCUCUACCUGAUGUCCCCAGGUCUGAAUGAGUCUCUCUACCUGAUGUCCCCAGGUCUGAAUUAGUCUCUCUACCUGAUGUCCCCAGGUCUGAAUGAGUCUCUCUACCUGAUGUCCCCAGGUCUGAAUGAGUCUCUCUACCUGAUGUCCCCAGGUCUGAAUGAGUCUCAACCUGAUGUCCCCAGGUCUGAAUGAGUCUCUCUACCUGAUGUCCCCAGGUCUGAACGAGUCUCUCUACCUGAUGUCCCCAGGUCUGAAUGAGUCUCUCUACCUGAUGUCCCCAGGUCUGAAUGAGUCUCUCUACCUGAUGUCCCCAGGUCUGAAUGAGUCUCUCUACCUGAUGUCCCCAGGUCUGAAUGAGUCCCAGGUCUGAAUGAGUCUCUCUACCUGAUGUCCCCAGGUCUGAAUGAGUCCCAGGUCUGAAUGAGUCUCUCUACCUGAUGUCCCCAGGUCUGAAUGAGUCUCUCUACCUGAUGUCCCCAGGUCUGAAUGAGUCUCAGGUCUGAAUGAGUCUCAACCUGUUGUCCCCAGGUCUGAAUGAGUCUCGGGUCUGAACGAGUCUCGGAUUACAGGUAGAGGAUGAGAACCAGUAGUGUUUCGUCCCUCCAGGACCAGAAAGAAAUAGCCCUUGGCUAGAUUCAAUCUGAUCCGCAGAAGAUCCGGGUUAUAGUUCACCUUUAAAAAAACCAAAAAGGUAAUUUAGGAUUGAGCCUACUGUUAACGUGGAAACUUUACCUUUUAAUAAGGUGCACAGCCGAAAAGAGGAGAUCGGAUUUGAAUCUAGGAACAGCUUCCUCCCUCCAGUCCUAACGAGGGGUGAGAGAUAUAUAUAUAUAUAUGGGUCCCGUGUGGCUCAGUUGGUAGAGCAUGGGUGUUUGCAACGCCAGGGUUGUGGGUUCGAUUCCCACGGGGGACCAAUACGGGGGGGGGAAAUGUCUGAAAUGUAUGCAUUCACUACUGUAAGUCGCUCUGGAUAAGAGCGUCUGCUAAAAUGACUAAAAUGUAAAUGUUAAUAACUGAUCUAGGAUCAGUUUCCUCCCUCCAGUCCUAACAGGUCACCAUUAGAGAGGUGAUAUAUAUAUAUAUAUAACUGAUCUAGGACCAGUCCUAACAGGUCACCAUUAGAGAGGUGAUAUAUAUAUAUAUAUAUAUAUAACUGAUCUAGGACCAGUGUUAAACAGAGCUGAAUGUCUGUCUGGUUCAUACCAUUUAUGAUGCUGAUGUAUUGUUAUUAUAAUGACAUUAAAUUAUUGAAUGUUUCUGUCG
rnacentral:lncRNA from 1 species